ACAAUAUUGGGGGAUGCUUCAGUAUGUUUUCAGGUAGAGGUUUCUCCUAAAGGAUUUGCCGGUACUAAUUGAUUUUGUUUCUAGUGGCCAGGUAAAUUUCGAAAAGAAAGUAAUAUCUGCUAGCCUUGUUUGUCAAAUUUGGUUAGUUCGGAAUGACCAAAUUUUUUAGCAAACUAGAUCAUCUAAUUACCAACUUGUGCACAA
rnacentral:lncRNA from 1 species